rnacentral:rRNA from 1 species
GACGAACGCUGGCGGCGUGCUUAACACAUGCAAGUCGAGCGGUGUGCUCUUUUGGGUGCACGAGCGGCGAACGGGUGAGUAACACGUGAGCAAUCUGCCCUUCACUUCGGGAUAACCUUCGGAAACGGGGGCUAAUACCGGGUAUGACUUCUGGCCGCAUGGCUGGGGGUGGAAAGAUUUGGUUUGGUGGAGGAUGGGCUCGCGGCCUAUCAGCUUGUUGGUGGGGUGAUGGCCUACCAAGGCGACGACGGGUAGCCGGCCUGAGAGGGUGACCGGCCACACUGGGACUGAGACACGGCCCAGACUCCUACGGGAGGCAGCAGUGGGGAAUAUUGGACAAUGGGCGGAAGCCUGAUCCAGCAACGCCGCGUGAGGGAUGACGGCCUUCGGGUUGUAAACCUCUUUCAGUGCCGACGAAGCCUGUGGGUGACGGUAGGUACAGAAGAAGCACCGGCCAACUACGUGCCAGCAGCCGCGGUAAAAC